rnacentral:rRNA from 4 species
GACAUGACUCUCGGCAAUGGAUAUCUUGGCUCUUGCAUCGAUGAAGAGCGCAGCGAAAUGCGAUACGUGGUGCGAAUUGCAGAAUCCCGUGAAC